UCCCUGAUAGUUGAGUUGGUAAAGAAUCUGUCUGUAAUGCAGGAGACCCUGGUUUGAUUCCUGGGUUGGGAA
rfam:TPA: Bos taurus chromosome 5, whole genome shotgun sequence.